rnacentral:rRNA from 1 species
AUACGUAGGGGGCAAGCGUUAUCCGGAUUUACUGGGUGUAAAGGGAGUCGUAGACGGUUAAAUAAGUCUGAUGUGAAAGCCCCGCGGCUCAACCGCGGGACUGCAUUGGAAACUAUUCAACUAGAGUGCAGGAGAGGUAAGUGGAAUUCCUAGUGUAGCGGUGAAAUGCGUAGAUAUUAGGAGGAACACCAGUGGCGAAGGCGGCUUACUGGACUGUAACUGACGUUGAGGCUCGAAAGCGUGGGGAGC